rnacentral:ncRNA from 19 species
CCUCCAGUACCGUGUACCGGAACAGACGAAAUCGAGCGGCGACGCCGCGGAGGAAGCCGGUGCGAGUCCGGCGCGGUCCCGCCACUGUCACCGGGCUUGCACCGAGCCCGGGAGCCAGGAACUCCGGUCGCCGUUUUCUCACC